GCAGCUGGGGCAUCUACACCAUCAGCUAGGCCACGCCCCUGUCCAGCCCCCACCGUCCAAUCGCGGCGCGGCACGCCCCCUCGCGCCUCCGCCCGUCGUCCAAUGGGAGGAGGCGCCCCAGUCGGGGGCGUGGCCUGCUGCUGAGGCCACGCCCACUGCGAGAACGGACACCGCCGGCGGACACCGCACGGGAAUCUUGGACGAGAUGGCGACCAAACAGCGGCUGGGAGCCUCCACAAAGCCCAUGUUCACCUUCAGAGAGAAGUGUCGUGUGGGCCCCAACCCGGACCUUGUGGCCCUGGUCCGUGGCCUGGACGCGGCCCCCCGGGGCCCGGCCCACGGCCAGGCAGAGAGUCAGGCCGAGGGGCAGGCUGAGCGAGUCGCUAGGCCCAAGAAAGAGGCCCCCGAACCUCCACCAAAACCACGAGCCGGGCUCCACGCCCCCUGCGAGGUGGCCCACUCCGUGGGGUUGGUGGCGAGCGAAGGGAAGGGAGCGGCGCUCUUCGCCAGGCGGCAAACUCGCAUGGAGAGGUUCACCUCGCAGGGGACGGGCGGAGCUACGAGCAACGACGGCGCGGAGGCCACGCCCCCAGAGCGGCCGUUGGAUGAGUGACGUCACCGCUGAGCCUCAGCGGAGUGACGUCAGCGCUGAGCCUCAGCGGAGUGACGUCACCCUCAACCGCCACACACAAACUCCGCCCACACCGGAAGCUGACGUCACCGCUGAGCCUCAGUGGGGUGACGUCACCCUCAACCCCCCCCACCCCCUCCCCAUCAACGCGUGACGUCAUCGCGAGCGGAAGUAGCCCCCACCUCCCUCCCUCCCCAAUGACGUCACCGCAUCAACGUAAGCGAUGACGUCACCACGCAAUGACGUCGGCGUGUAAUCGAGUUAAGAGAUGACGUCACCACCUGAGUGACGCCGCCGCAGUGACGUCACCGAUAGUCAAGGGGGUCGUGACGUCACCGGUGUUUACCUGAGCGAUGACGUCACCACAGGUUUGCCCCUUCUUCGUACAAUGACGUCGGCAGUAAUCAAGACAGAGCGACGUCAUCAGUGUUCAGAGGGGGGGAGGUGGUGACGUCAUCGCUGGGCUGCGUCACUGUACGUGGACGUGACGUCAUUGGGAAGGGCGGGAACCAGGCAUUGUGACGUCACGAUGUGCCACGUGGCCACGUGACGGUAAUGAUGGUGGCGGUUGUUGUUGAUGGUGAUGAUGGUGAUGAUGGUGAUGGUGGUGAUGGUGGUGGUGAUGGUGGUGGUGAUGGUGGUGGUGGUGAUGAUGGUGGUGGUGAUGGUGGUGAUAGUGAUGAUGGUGGUGGUGAUGGUGGUGGUGGUGAUGGUGGUGGUGGUGAUGAUGGUGGUGGUGCCGGUGGUGAUGGUGAUGAUGGUGAUGGUGGUGAUGGUGGUGGUGAUGGUGGUGGUGAUGAUGGUGGUGGUGAUGGUGUUGUUGAUGGUGAUGAUGGUGAUGAUGGUGAUGGUGGUGAUGGUGGUGGUGGUGAUGGUGGUGGUGAUGGUGGUGGUGGUGAUGAUGGUGGUGGUGCCGGUGGUGAUGGUGAUGAUGGUGGUGGUGAUGGUGGUGGUGGUGAUGGUGGUGAUGGCCAGGCUGAGCUGGAUGGGUCACCUCCUCCUGGUGCACCUAGCCUGGCACAGCAGUACAAUCCAUGGCACCUGCUGGGUCUGUCACGUGACCUCCUCCUGCACCUAGCCUGGCACAGCAGCACAACCCAUGGCACCUGCUGGGUCUGUCACGUGACCUCCUCCUCAUGCACCUAGCCUGGCACAGCAGUACAACCCAUGGCACCUGCUGGGUCUGACCCGUGACCUCCUCCUCAUGCACCUAGCCUGGCACAGCAGUACAACCCAUGGCACCUGCAGGGUCUGUCCCGUGACCUCCUCUUCAUGAACCUAGCCUGGCACAGCAGUACAACCCAUGGCACCUGCUGGGUCUGUCCCGUGACCUCCUCCUCAUGCACCUAGCCUGGCACAGCAGUACAACCCAUGGCACCUGCUGGGUCUGACCCGUGACCUCCUCCUCAUGCACCUAGCCUGGCCCAGCAGUACAACCCAUGGCACCUGCUGGGUCUGUCCCGUGACCUCCUCCUCAUGCACCUAGCCUGGCACAGCAGUACAACCCAUGGCACCUGCUGGGUCUGUCCCGUGACCUCCUCCUCAUGCACCUAGCCUGGCACAGCAGUACAACCCAUGGCACCUGCUGGGUCUGUCCCGUGACCUCCUACUCAUGCACCUAGCCUGGCACAGCAGUCAACCCAUGGCACCUGCUGGGUCUGACCCGUGACCUCCUCCUCCUGCACCUAGCCUGGCACAGCAGUACAACCCAUGGCACCUGCAGGGUCUGUCCCGUGACCACCUCAUGCACCUAGCCUGGCACAGCAGUACAACCCAUGGCACCUGCUGGGUCUGUCCCGUGACCUCCUCCUCAUGCACCUAGCCUGGCACAGCAGCAGGACAACCCAUGGCAUCUGCAGGAUCGGACUACGUACGGUGCGAAGGAAGUUCAACACACGUACACACAGACACACACACGCUGCCUUAUAUAAUGGACUUAGACUUUCAAUGUUAAAGUCUCCCAUAGACUCCAAUGUUAAAGUCUCCCAUAGACUUCAAUGUUAAAGUCUCCCAUAGACUCCAAUGUUAAAGUCUCCCAUAGACUCCAAUGUUAAAGUCUCCCAUAGACUCCAAUGUUAAAGUCUCCCAUAGACUCCAAUGUUAAAGUCUCCCAUAGACUUCAAUGUUAAAGUCUCCCAUAGACUUCAAUGUUAAAGUCUCCCAUCGACUCCAAUGUUAAAGUCUCCCCAUAGACUCCAAUGUUAAAGUCUCCCAUAGACUCCAAUGUUAAAGUCUCCCAUAGACUUCAAUGUUAAAGGCCCCCAUCGACUCCAAUGUUAAAGUCUCCCAUAGACUUCAAUGUUAAAGUCUCCCAUAGACUACAAUGUUAAAGUCUCCCAUAGACUCCAAUGUUAAAGUCUCCCAUAGACUCCAAUGUUAAAGUCUCCCAUAGACUCCAAUGUUAAAGUCUCCCAUAGACUUCAAUGUUAAAGUCUCCCAUAGACUUCAAUGUUAAAGUCUCCCAUCGACUCCAAUGUUAAAGUCUCCCCAUAGACUCCAAUGUUAAAGUCUCCCAUAGACUCCAAUGUUAAAGUCUCCCAUAGACCUCAAUGUUAAAGUCUCUACCCAUAGAUUUCAAUGUUAAAGUCUCCCAUAGACCUCAAUGUUAAAGUCUCCCAUAGACUUCAAUGUUAAAGUCUCCCAUAGACUUCAAUGUUAAAGUCUCUACCCAUAGAUUUCAAUGUUAAAGUCUCCCAUAUACUUCAAUGUUAAAGUCUCCCAUAGACUUCAAUGUUAAAGUCUCUACCCAUAGAUUUCAAUGUUAAAGUCUCCCAUAGACCUCAAUGUUAAAGUCUCUACCCAUAGACUUCAAUGUUAAAGUCUCCCAUAGACCUCAAUGUUAAAGUCUCUACCCAUAGACUUCAAUGUUAAAGUCUCCCCAUAGACUUCAAUGUUAUGGGAGUGGAGGGAAAUGGGGACCCCACAUAAUACAGUACAACAUUAUAUAUUCAAUAUAUCUCAUCAUGUAUACCGUGUUCAGCAUAUGCCCACUAAUAAA